rnacentral:lncRNA from 1 species
AGAAUCCAAAUUUAGGAUGUUGGAAAGGAGGAAGGUUGGGGAGUGGAGGGCAGGGUUUCUUAUAGAAUGGUGGGAGUGGUUUAUAAAUUGGAAUUGGAGGUGGAAGUGGCUUUACUAUUGGAGGAAUGUAAAUUGGUGGCUUUGGCUUGUAGAUUGGAAUUGGAGGUGGAAGUGGCUUUACUAUUGGAGGGAUGUAAAUUGGUGGCUUUGGCUUGUAGAUUGGAACUGGUGGUGGUAGUGGCUUUACUACCGGGGGUAUGUAAACCGGUGGCUUUGGCUUGUAGGUUGGAACUGGUGGUGGUAGUGGCUUUAUUAUCGGAGGUAUGUAAAUCGGUGGCUUUGGCUUUGGUUUGUAGAUAGGAACUGGUGGUGGAAGAGGCUUUACUACCGGAGGUUUGUAAACUGGUGGCUUUGGCUUUGGUUUGUAGAUUGGAACUGGUGGUGGAAGCGGCUUUACUGGAGGCUUUGGCUUGUAAAUAGGGACAG